rnacentral:lncRNA from 1 species
CUGUUCCCCGAGGGCACCAGCACUGGCCGACCGACCUGGCUUGGGGCGCGGCGCUGGCAAACCCGGCCUUCUGAGGGGACGCCACGCUGACUCUAGUGCAGGCAGCCCCCAAAACGAAAAUUCCAGGCCCAGAGGGCCAAGCUGGUGAAUCCUACUUAGAGAAGAAAUAAUAGGAAUCCAGCCACUCAGACGAUGGACGAGGAGGGGCACUUCCCUGCUCGAUGUAUGGGCCAGCAUUGCCUUGAUAGCAAAGUCAGACAUCACCAGACAGUAGAACCACAGACCAAUGUCUUUCAUGAACCAAGACACAGCAUUUAAAAAAAUUAGCAAAUGGAAUUUAUAUCUGCCUAUUGUUUACAAAAAAAGCCAAACUUUGUAAAAUACUUGAAGAGAUUUAUUCUGAGCCAAAUAUGACCCAUGACACAGCCUCAGGACGUCCUGAGAACUUGGCCCAAGGCGGUUGUUUUACUGCUUGGUUUUAUUCAUUUCAGGGAGACAUAAGACAUCAGUCAGUACAUGUGAGGUGUGCAUUGGAUUGAUCCAGAAAGUCAGGACGACUCCAAGUGGAAAGGCCUCCAGAGACAGGAGACAGUAAAAGAAAUGGCCUCUCUCCUCUGUCAGAGUGGAGUCCCGAGCUCCCAGAAAUGCCACAUGAUGGACAAACGCUUGGGGGAAAAAAAAAAAAAAGGAGACCUCAGUCGGACACAAAAGCAGGAGCUUUAAAAGAAAAAAUAAGAGAUAAGUUGAACUUCACCAAAAAAUAAGCGUUUCUGGUCUUUGAAAGACACUUAAAAUGAAAAGGCAAGCCAUCGAUGGGGAAAAUACUCAGAAUAAUGGAUCUGACAGAGGGCUGUAUCUAGAAUAUAUGAAGAUAUUUUAAAAUCCAGUAAUUUGACAUAAAGAUGGUAGCCAGCCUGACACACAAAGGAACCCGAAUGGCCAAUGGACAGGAAGGGAACCCGUAUGGCCGAUGGACAGAAAGGGAAGUGAACGUGAACAUCUCAUUGGGGAUGCCGUUAUCACCACUGGAAUAGUCAAAAACAUGGACACCAAGUAUUGGUGGGUGAGUGGAAUGGCGGGAACCCACAUACACGGUCGAUGGGAGCUGCACCCUUUGGAAAUCAUUUCACAGUUUGUGCUCCAUCCUGGCCAAACCCACAGCUGGAGUCUUUCCAAAAACAGUGACGGGAGUUUCCACCAGGGAGUGCCUCAAACCAUCCCGAGAUGGGGCUGGUUGGGAUUCCAGGGAGAGGCACUCGUUGCCAGGGUGAUCCGUCCAGAGCACUUCCUAGGGGAUCUGGCAUAAGGAGGGCUGCAGUGUAUCCUCAGGACAGAUAGGACAGAUAGUGUAUCUUUGGGACAGACGGCAAGAUGGGGAUUCCACCCAGGUCUGUCUGCAGCGAGUUGAUAUGAGAGUUUAAGGAAUUUGGACCAGGGCUGCUUUGUUUCAGGGUUUUGGGCAAUGACCUAAACACCUUUAUCAGUGCCUGGGAAUGCUCAAGGCCCAGCUUGAGUUCAGGCCUGCAGGGAAAACCUGCAACUGGCCGGGCUGCAGAGUGGUCAGGGCACGGAAAGCCAGAAGCUGGGGACACACCUGCUGUAUGAUCCAGCCGUUCGUCUUUACCUGGGAGAAAUGGCACCACCUGGCUGAACAUAACUUCUUACACUCCCAUGAGUCCUCCUGGACAGGUGCUGUGACCUCGUGCAGCCUUGGGGACCCUGACACUCCCACGGACAGGCCAAGGGGUUUGCCUGGGCCCUGUGGGCACAGAGCCCCUUGAGAUGGGUUUCCCUAUGCAGCCCCCCACCCCCCACCGGGGACCCAUGGCACUGCAGCCCUCACCCCCCCUCUAGGGACCCACAACACUGCAGCCCUCGCCCCCCUCCGGGGUCCCACAGCACUGCAGCCCUCGCCCCCCAUCGGGGACCCACAGCACUGCAGCCACGCCCAGGCCACCGCCUCCAAACACAGGGCCGCUGCUGUUUCUGUGAACAGAUACUUCUUGCAGAUGUCAAUGGUUAAUGGAUGGGGAGGUGACCGCCCAAGCAGAAGCCGACCCUCUUCAUGAAGGGGCCACAGGUCACCCCGAAGCAGAAAUCCAUAGAACAGCCAAGGCCACAGCGGAACCGAGCAGGCCACGCCUCUGCCUCUGGGCCGCUCAGGGCCAGGCCUCCCUGACCCCACUGGCUCUAUUGUGAGGACUCAGGGUGGAGCUCUGCUGGGCUCAGUGGCCUUCACAGCCGGGGUCCACAGACCCGGGUCCUACGGGCAGUACUGUGCUCACCUAGAGGCCACGGUCCAUGCCCUGUCUCCAGCAGGCCCAAGUCACUUGUCCAUGGCGAAGGCCCGGCCUUGCUUCAGGCCCCGGGCGCGCUCCCCCUGCUCCCCCUGCCCACCGUUUCUUCCCAGGUGACAGAGGCGGGAGAGCAGGCGAGCCACGUGCCGGGCGCCGCAGCAGGGGGCACUCCAGGCUGGCGCCCCUCUGCCUCUCCGUGGGCUCUGACCUUUCUUCUCCCUGCCUGGGCAGCCUCCUUCAGGUUGGGGAGUCUUUUGUUGACCCCUGGAUUAAAGUCCUAAUCAGGAAUGACCCGGAAGAGGUCUUAUGAGGCUUUCCUCAAGAGAAGAAAAUCUGUCCCUGAGUAUCAGGAAGUGGCCCCUUUCCCUGCACCGCAGUCUUCUGUGACCAGCGGCUCACACAGCGAAGGAGGGGCUGGCGGCCCCCACAGGCCACUGCCCCGAGGCCGCCACGAGAGGGCAGGAGAGCCCUUCCUGGGAGCUCUGUGCCACGGGGAAACGCAGCCCCGCCAAGCACAGCAUGGAUGUUUCCAGCAGGGAAUGAAGAGAGAGGCCCCAGCACAUGAGAGAAGAGCACACUGGGCGGCCCCUGUCGGAGCCUCUCCUGUCCCCAGCGACCCCUGAGAGCAGGCCCUGGGCCUCUGCGGCCCCUCCCGGAGCCACUCUUCAACUGCUGACCUGCUCCCAGCUCUUCUGUGCCCCGCCCAGCUCCCUGCAAAACCUCACCUGAGGGGAAGGAGGCCCUGUUUGGGCUCAGACGCAGCAGGUGCAGCUUGUGGUCCUGGGGCCACACCUGUUAGAGCCCAUCCUUCUACCCCUGCUGGGCCCUGAGUGUCGUCCGUCCCCACAGAACUCAGCAGGGUCAGGUCUGGGCACUCCAGGCCGCCAGCCCCCUGAGUGAGCCCUGGGCCGGAGGUAGUUGUGGGUCACAGGCACCCCAGCCAGAACACCCACAGUGGGUAGAUGUGUGGGGACCGGAUGUGGGUCCUCUCCUGAGAGACGUGCAGAUGGGGAGAGGCUGGGCAGUUCUCAGCACAGCUGGAGCAUCUACCUGUCACCACCUCGGAGCCUCCUGGCCCCGUGGGGGCGGCCCUGGGAGCAGGGUCGGCAGUGAAGAGCAGAGAAAGGCAGUUGGGGAUGUUGCCACUGUCCCCCGAGACCACCCUGCCAUGGAGACGAGGGAGCUGUCCCUUCGCGGAAGGGGGCUGGCCAGCAAGAAGGACAGAGAGUGGACUGGCCGAGGACCGCUGAGCUCAGGACCCAAGGAGGACUCUUCUAGGAGACGAGAGAGCGAACGCCAGGGACCCUGUGCAGGCCUGCUCCUCCGUUUGCAAGCCAGUUGUCACAUCAUUUAUUGAAAAAGGAAUCUUUUCUCCACCGACUGACAUGAAAUGCUACCAUCAUCGUAAAUAAAAUUCCCGUAAAUACUUGCUGUCUCUGCUGUCUCAGUCCUGACUCACGGGCUGAGUUCUCUUUCUGCACAGUAGCACUGGCAUUAACUGUGACAGCUUUACAGCAGGCUCCCUCCCCGAGGCCGUUCAGAAGCAUUCCUCAGCGGGUCCUACACGUUUCCUCUCCCAUGUCAAGUUUAGAAGCAGUGUCAAGACCCACAGCAGUCCUGCGGGAGUUUUAAGGGAUGCACGGAGUUUAUGGGGACAGUUUGGAAAAUUGACAUUCAUGUGACUUAGAGUCCUACUACUUGAAAAUGGAUUCCAGCUCUCAACGAAUUUAGAGCUUUGGCAAAAUUUUUAAGAUUUCUUUGAUGUCCGAUGUGCUCAUUUCUUGGUUUGUUCUUGAGUAUUUUGUGGAUUUUUAUGAAAUCCACAAAGUUUUUGUUAUAAUGAAUGGGACACUUUCCCAUAAAAUGUUGUAAUUCUGUAUUGCUGUUUUAGUAAACACUGUUGAUUGAUGUAUAUUGAUGUUACACUUGGUCACUUGUAAUAGUUUGUCCGUUCAUUAUUUUGAACUUUUUAGGUAAACAGUCAUAUAAUUAUGCAAAUAAUUAUAGUUGUGUCUCUGCCUUUCUAAUAUUUAUACUUUGUGUAUAUUAUCAUGUUGGCCAGGACUCAAGCGUCUUUCUCUUGUUUCUGACUAAUGCGAAUGAUUCUAAUGCAGGGGUUUCCAAACUGGUGGCCGGGGGGCCAAAUCCAGCCAAUGGUCUCUUCUUGUAAAUAAAGUUUUAUUGGAACACAGUUACACACAUUUUUCUACAUAUUGUCUGAUGGCUACUGUCACGCCACAGCAAUGCUGUUAAAUAGUCCAGACAGAGGCGGUAUUGCCCGAAAAACCUAGAAUAUUCACCAUCUGAGCUUUUACGGGAAAAUUUGCUAAUAUCUGUUCUCAUGCAUUAAAUACAAUGUUUGUUACAGGUUAAGGAAGUUUCUGACUAUUUUUAGCUUUCUGAAUAUCUUGUGGUUGUGUGUGCUUUAAAAUUAGGACUAAAUAUUAAAUUUACCAGUUGCUUGUUAGGGGCCUAUCUUUUGAGAUGCCCAAAGUUUCCCUUUUUUAGUCUCUUCAUGUAGUGAGUUGUACUAACAGAUUCUCUAAUGUUGAACCGUCUUUGCUUUCCGGAGAUAGACUUUACUUGCUCCUGGUGGAUUGGAUUCUGUUUGUUAAUACUUUUAUUUUUGGGUAAUUACAUCCCUAUUAUAAAUAAUAUGUCAGCAUCAUUGUGUGUAGAUGUGUGUGUGUUAUUCUUGCCAUUAGUUUCUCAGGUUUUUGGUUAACUAUUGAUAUGGUUUGGAUCUGUGUCCCCACCCAAAUCCGAUGUUGAAUUGUAAUCCCCAGUGUUGGAGGUGUGGCCUGGUGGGAGGUGGUUGGAUCAUGGGAGUGAAUUUCUCAUGA